CUACGGGAGGCAGCAGUGAGGAAUAUUGCACAAUGGGGGGAACCCUGAUGCAGCAACGCCGCGUGGAGGAUGACGCAUUUCGGUGUGUAAACUCCUUUUAUAUGUCAAGAAAAUGACGGUAGCAUAUGAAUAAGCACCGGCUAACUCCGUGCCGGCAGCCGCGGUAAUACGGAGGGUGCAAGCGUUACUCGGAAUCACUGGGCGUAAAGGACGCGUAGGCGGGCUUGUAAGUCAGGUGUGAAAUCCUACAGCUUAACUGUAGAACUGCACUUGAAACUACGAGCCUAGAGUAUGGGAGGGGGAGAUGGAAUUAGUGGUGUAGGGGUAAAAUCCGUAGAUAUCACUAGGAAUACCUAAAGCGAAGGCGAUCUCCUGGAACAUAACUGACGCUAAGGCGUGAAAGCGUGGGGAGCAAACAGGAUUAGAUACCCUAGUAGUC
rnacentral:rRNA from 1 species